rnacentral:rRNA from 1 species
UACGUAGGGUGCGAGCGUUUAAUCGGAAUUACUGGGCGUAAAGCGUGCGCAGGCGGUUUUGUAAGACAGGCGUGAAAUCCCCGAGCUCAACUUGGGAAUUGCGCUUGUGACUGCAAGGCUAGAGUGUGUCAGAGGGGGGGUAGAAUUCCACGUGUAGCAGUGAAAUGCGUAGAGAUGUGGAGGAAUACCGAUGGCGAAGGCAGCCCCCUGGGACAUGACUGACGCUCAUGCACGAAAGCGUGGGGAGCAAACAGG